AUGGACAAGAUCCUGAAAGCGUCAUUAUUAGUCUUAACCCUUCACCUAGCAUGGGUGAGUGGCCAGCAGGAGAGAUCUGACCAGCAGCAGGUCAGACAAAGCCCACAAUCUCUGUCAGUCUUGGAAGGAGGAACUUCAGUUCUAAACUGCACUUAUGAGAACAGCGCGUUUAACUACUUCCCAUGGUACCGGCAGUUCCCUGGUGAAGGCCCUGCAUUACUGAUGGACAUACGUUCAGUGUCGAACAAAAAGGAAGAUGGACGAUUCACAGUCUUCUUCAGGAAAAGUGAUAAACAGCUCUCCUUGCACAUCAGAGAUUCUCAGCCUGGAGACUCAGCCACCUACUUCUGUGCAGCAAGUGCACAGUGCUCUCCAGGCACCUGCAGCCACACCCAAACCUGCAGCUGUGCUCCAGCAUAG